rnacentral:lncRNA from 1 species
CUUUUACAUUUUCUGUGGUCAACAACUGUAUAAGCUUAGAUGACAAUGGACGCUUAUAAUAAUAUGGCUUAAUAUACUGCCUCCUAGAUGCAUUAUAACAAUCACACUGUAAAAUGAAAUGAAACUCGUCUUCUAUUGUAUUUAAAGUACAGAGAAUGCAUUUUCUUUCUGAUCUAUUAACAAUGUGAUAUCGUCCUGUUUCAACAAAUAAGUUAUGUGAAGACAAUCUUAUUCUCUUUAGAUACACUCUAAAAUUCACAUGUUUAGUAAGGUAAAAUUGUAAACAAACAUUAUUUACACAGUAUUUAUAUAAAAAACACUUUGGCGAGUCAUCCAAUAAUUGAUUGAAGUAUUGAUUAACUUGAUCAAAUAUUCUAGUUUUGAUCAAAUAC